rnacentral:rRNA from 1 species
UACGUAGGGUGCGAGCGUUGUCCGGAAUUACUGGGCGUAAAGAGCUCGUAGGUGGUUUGUCGCGUUGUCCGUGAAAACUCACAACUCAAUUGUGGGCGUGCGGGCGAUACGGGCAGACUGGAGUACUGCAGGGGAGACUGGAAUUCCUGGUGUAGCGGUGGAAUGCGCAGAUAUCAGGAAGAACACCCGUGGCGAAGGCGGUUCUCUGGAACGCAACUGACGCUGAGACGCGAAAGCGUGGGGAGCAAACAGG